AAACACACUAGCUCUCCUCUCAAGAACAUCUUAUUCUCUCUUCUUUUCUUCUUUAUCCCUACAUUCUAUCUCAACCUUUUUUCUGUAUCUCUGUUCUUCAAAAGUUUACAUUGUGAACCUAAAUUAGUUCAUAUAGAGCUUGAAGAUUGAUUCAACUCCGUACAAAAUUUCUUGAAAAUCAAAGAAGCAAGGAUGAGUAUCAAUGGAGGCCAAAAAGGCACUACAAAUAUUGUUGUACGGAUGGUAGUUGUAACGACCUGAUUGGUCAUUUGAGCUUUUGCACUUUGAUCUCCAGUUCUCGGGCAUGACUCUCCCGGUGUGAUGUAUUACGACUGAUGUAGAUCAUUGAUUUUGGUUUCGGGAAAAAGAAACGAAAUAAAUUUGAAAGGACAGUUUCAGUUAAAAGCUCUGAAUUUGAAAGGUUUGACUACCAAGAGUUGAAUUAUUUGUAUAUGAGCUAGGAUCGGAAUUUUUAUGAUUUGGCUAGCUCAGUUGGGUGAUUUAUGACUUAGGAGCAUGAUCAGAAUUGGUUUUGGAGGUUUGGAGUAGAAUUUGGCUUGAAUUGGCGAAGUUUAGAUUUUGGCGAUUUCCAGUUUAUAGGUGAGAUUUUGAUAUAGAGGUCGGAAUAGAAUUAUGAGAGUUGCAGUAGCUUCGUUAUGUCAUUUGGGGGUGUGCAAAUUUUCAGGUCAUUCGGACAAGGUAUGAUAGACAUGUUGAUUGAAUUCGGAAUCCGGAAGUUUUGGUAUUCUUAGGCUUGAAUCCGAGGGUGAUUAGAUAUUUUGAUAUUGUUUUGAUCGUUCCGAAUGUUGGAACAAGUUUGAAUUAUGUCAUAGGGCAUGUUGUCAUGUUUGAUCGGGGUCCCAUGAGACUCUGAUAAGUUUUGGAAGAGUUUUCGGAAGAUUUUGCCGUUUUGAGCAUGAGCAUGUACUGAUCCAAAAGUCCAUUUUUAGUUCUAGAGAUUGGAAUUUGAUUUUGAGACUUCCAAAAUUUUGAUAAUGAGUUAUAGAAGUGAUCUGGAAAGUUUGGUCUAAUUUCAUUAAGUCGCGAUUGGGUUUUUGACGUGAAUCAUGAGUUAAUUGUUUAACGAGCGAAAUGGAUAUCGCACUGAGCAAACGAGCUCCGAAUUGAGUU
rnacentral:lncRNA from 1 species